GGGUCCUGCCCGUCUUCCCGCGCGGGCACCGGAGGCCGGUUUGGGGCCCGUCAGCCCGCCUCCGGGAAGAUCGAGGCGCGGCCAGUGAGGGGGCGGAAGCGCCCGCGCGGGGCGGGCCAGACAGCGGCCGCAGGCCUUGGCGCCUCCAUCUUGGAGCGCGCGGCCGGCCCUGCGCCGCCUUUGGGCGCGGACUUGGGGCCACGCAGGUGAGGCCGGAAGCGGACGGGAGCCGCGCGCCGCCGGCCGGCCCCGCGUGGACGCACCUGGCCCCGAGUUCCGGGCAUCGGGACCGCGGGUCCCGGAAGCGGGCCGCGCGCGCGCACACUUCCGGCUGGAGAGAUGGGCGGGGCGCCCCCUCCGCCAAGGGCCCCCCGCUGGCCCUGUCCCCAGGAGGGACUGCCCGUCCUCCACAAACCCCCUCCUGCGGCGUCCGGCCCAGAAGAGGAACGGCUUCUUGUUGGCUCUUCCUGUAGUUACAUCCCAGAAGUUUCCCUUCAAACCCUGCUCUCACUUUCAUGGAAGCCUGUCACCAGGACUUAGGGUCCUGGGGCUGCAUCCUCGACAAAGGGGAAGCGCUCGCUGGGCUGGCGUCAUUGAAUGUUUCUGAAUUGAACGGGUGUGCCACCUCUGCCUGCCCCUUUUCAAUUUCCAUAAAGGUCCGAAAUAAAGAAAUAGCAUUUAUUUAUUUGCAUGCUUUGCAAAAAACAAUUUUUUAUUGCUCUUUGUCGUUAUGAAGCUGGAUGCUGAUGAACACCUGUUUCCUCACAGCAGCUCCAUCCACCCGGGGACUUGUAGCAGGUGAUGAGGUUGGGAGUGGGCGGCAAGGACCAGACGGGACAGCACUGGACAGACUCCGAGGGCCCUGGGCCUUGUCUGGGCUCCGCCACUGUAGAGCCAAGAUGAGGAAUUUCAACUCUGGUCUCUUUCUUCAGCGGCCAAGCGAGGGAUCUGCAUUCUAUGCACAUAGGGUUCUCUCUGCCCGUUCAGAAGACUGCAUACCCACCAUCCUGUCUUCUGAGCAAUAAAACUGAAUGUCCCAGGAGCGGGAAGCCCUACCGACCCAGUGUGCCCCUGCUUGCGUUGUGUUUAGAAAACAAAGCCGUCACCUGUAGAAGUCUAUGCUGCUUCUAUGUUAUACUAAACCCUUCCAGACAGGCACAAGGGGCCUCGUUACUGAAAGGGAAACGAGGCGUCUACACGGAGACAGAGGGGGUGCGGGAGCCACGAUCAAGACCCGAUUCUUCAACAUCAUGCUGAUUGUCGUUACCUGGUAGCCUUCCUUCUGUUCUUUGACAUUGUCACUGUGCCAAUUGGCUUGUCCAUGUGGGACCUGAAAGUUCCAAAGGGAGGAGUCUUUUUCUCUCUCAAGAAAAACGAUUUUAAAUAUAAUGUUACAUGCAAUAAA